CCCCAGCCCACCUUCGUGGACUUCCUGGCGUACGACGUGGUGGACCAGUUCCGCAUGUUCGUGCCUGACUGUCCGGAGCUGAAGGGAAACCUGGCGCAGUUCCUGCAGCGCUUCGAGGCCCUGGACAAGAUCUCUGCCUACAUGCGCUCGGGGCGCUUCAUGAAAGCCCCGAUUUUCUGGCGCACGGCGAAGUGGAGCAACACCAAGGAGUGAGGGGCUGACCCCCUGUGCCCCCCAAGUCACCCCCAGAAUUCUCAAUAAAUCAUGGGGGUCUCCCCCUUGUCCA